CCUUUGAUUUGCCUCACCUUUUUUGUAUGUUUUAAUUGUGUCCUGCAAUCUGCGAAUCAGUUAACAGCACAAGCUCUUGGCUUGAAGUGUUGCUUAUCUAGGAAUUGUAAUAAAAUGAUUGUUCAAAGCAGAAAUGAUUCUUUUAUCUUGAGUUACUUUCACCUCAAGCAACUUUUUUCUCUUAUUAUGCUUUUCACUUCUUUACAUUUGUUUUUGGGGUUUGAGUUUUGUUGGGGUGGUUUUUGCAUCGCUUGCAUGAAGAAUGUGUGGCACUGUUUUUUCUUCACUUGUGUGUAGGUUGUUUCUUGGUGCAUCUUGUUAUAUGAAUAUGUUACUUACAUUAUGAAAAUCUUAUAAAGCCAGUACACAUUUUUUUUCUUAAAAAUGCAGUUUUAUUUCUAAAAUAAAGUCCAUAGAGGAAUAAUACCACUUUGCAAAUAUAACAUCUAUUUGCACAACUAUCUGUUAAAUAUCAGCUGCUAUAUUUCUCUUUAUCAAUGCAACUACAGUUUAUAAAAUCUAAACAUUUACGAGUAAAAUAAGUGUAGGUAAUUAUACUACUAUAUCCAUGAAAAUAUGUUUAACUGUAAGAAAAUUGGAGAGAUGAUUUAAAAAAAACCCUAUGUGGAGUUAGAUGGGGAUACAUAUAAGGUGCUGUAUAGAAGCAGGAUGAAUGAAAAACCAAAAUGCAGAAGGGGAAGCAAUGAGUGAAACGAAACUGUACAAAUAGUAUUUGAGGGAAAAGCACAGUUUUCUGCAAGACACGAUUCCUUCUUUAUAAGGCACCAUACUUGGAUGCAUUUGGAGCACUCUACUGAGAGUUGAGUGGAAUUUGUACCCCUUGCAGAGGUUUCUGAGAAGGGCAGUGAGACUGGUCAGGUGUAAUAAAAUGUGCACUGUCGUGAUUGAGUUUAAGGAGCUUUUUGAAGAGCUUUAAGCAGAGUUCAGACAAACAUCAGUGCAGAAUGACAGAGCUUCUGCUGUUUCUGUUUUGGGGUCUAGAUAAGCCCAAGUGUAACAGUUUUAUAGCAGUGCUGUCAAUGUGAAUCAAAAUGCUUCCCUGUUUAUUGCAUAGAAGAGAGAAAAUGAAAAAAGCAGAAAAAAACCAUUCGUAAUAGAGUGUGCUAAUGCAAUUAAAAAUUACGUUUCAUAUCUUCUUUCUUCUCCCAAACAAAAACCAGUGGGUGACACAGGGUUUCCUUCAGAAAACAAAGUAGAUGAUCAUUAUUCAAAAACUUCUGCUCUUUUUAAUAUUUAUUCAUUUUUGUUUUAUUCCUUAAUAAAAUAAAGCCAUUCUCUGAGUCUUGCUCUUCUGCUGUUCUAAGCACCUCAACAAACUUUAUAGCGAUGAAUAUCACAACGAUUUGGAGUCGUGCUUUUGAUGUGAGAGAUCUUGAGUUCAGAUGCUGGUGAUUUUUUGAAACCACGGUUAAUUAUUCAUCAGUAAGAUCAGUUCCACAGCUUUAAUGGCGCUAAUAUGCUUCGUGCAAUACAGUUCCCUCAGACUGCGGAUGGGAUGCCUGUCUCUGCCCAUGCAGAUGUGCCAUUAGGGAUUAUCUUUCCUAAUCAUUGAUUGCCACUCCUGAACUUGGGAGUCUCUGUUUCUCCUGAAACUCCCGAUGGAGCCGCUCAUGAGAACACUCCCAGCCCUGCUUCGUUAGGGAGAUCUAAAUGAGUUUAAGCAGUAGGUAUUUGCUGAUCCAGCUCAUUUUGAUGCAAGCCUUUCUGUUUAUGUAAGCAGGCAGAUUUAGGAAAAUAGUAUCUGGCAAAGAAGCAGUGGUGAGGAGCAAAGGGUUGAGCUGGAGAAUGUGGCUUUUUUCGCUAAAACCAGGUUUAAACGCUUUGUCUGUCGUACCUUCAGUGUAACUGCAGUGAUGCUGAUGGCUGUGGUUGGAAUUGAUUAAAUUAGUCCCAUAAAGGAAGAAGAAAUAAAUUAGUACUUCUGUAGCAAUUUAUGUAGUGCUAUAGCUAGCAUUUACAAAAUAAUGCAAAACUCCACACUUCAAAAUUAUGUAAUUGCUUAAAACUGUGUGUAAACAAAUAUUUUAAAGAGUUAAAUGACAUGAGAUUUAUCCUUAGGCAUGCGAUAUUUAUUAGAUAAUACCCAGUUUGUGAACAUUUACUAAAUUUUCAAAACUCUUUUAGUAUACAAUAAAUACGUAUUUCAGUAUAUUUCUGGUAUAUGUGUAUAAAAUCCAUAUCAGAUUUGAAAGGUUGCGUUUUGAUUUGUUUUGAGGGGAUAGUAUUUUAUCCAUCAGAAUUCAAAAAUAAAUUGAUCAUUUUAGUGGAGGAGAAGGAGCUUAUUUUCCCAUCCUAUAUAAUGCCUGUAAAAUGUCAAAAUUAUAUUAAUGAAAUUUUAGGAACAAAGUGGUAUGUUAGAAAACCAGCCUGUGUUACUUUGUUCAGAGCUCAGCAUUUUGAAAAAAUUGCCUGAAUAAUGGUAUAUAAAAAUGGAAAAUGCUAAAUGUACCUUCUUGUUCAUAACUGUUUUUACAGUUCAAUGUCUGUGUGCUGCUAAUUAAAUACUGAGCAUCAAAAAUUGACUAAUGAGCUUUAAACUGUCAAUAUUAUGCUAGAAAGUAUUUUCUGUAUGUUUAUGUAAUAUCUUAGAGUAAACUUUAAUGUCUUGGAAAACAGUAGAAAACAAGAAAAUAUCAUUGUCAUGUCAACAUGUCAUCAUUUUUAAAGCAGACUGUUAAGUUGGGAUUUCAGGGGGUUGGGACACUAAAGAGAAGCUGCUGAGAUUUAGGAGUGCUGCAACAGCAAGUUUUUUAUAUGUGCAUUGUGUCUCAUUCCAACAUUUAAACUGGUUUAACAGUAAGUAAAACAAAAUGCUUUCCAGUUUAAUGAAAUGGAAUUUUAUGGUCUUCAGUUAAACCUUUCUGUUUCGCUCCUGUGCAUCAGCUGUUUAUUUGCGUAUCUGUUAACAACUGCAGUGUGUAUACUGACCUGCUCAGAAUUUGUGUCAUUAGUUACUUUGAAGUAUCAUUAAAAAUUUUCCUGGAAGGUGCUUGUAGAUGCUGAGGUUAGGAAUACAUUGUUAGAGUUUCCAGGAGAAGACAAUUUAGAAAAUCCAGGUACUGGGAAACAGCAAGCCAUAAAGAAAAAAUAAUCCAUUUUGGGGCAAGGGAGUAUAUUUAUUAGCACUUAGAUUAAGGUGAAGGUUGACCUUUUAAUGCAGAGUUAAAAACUGAGUGUUGAAUGAUGGGUUAUAGUUUAACAUAAAAGUUUCUUGAAACGUUUAGGUUUGUUUUUUUUGUUUUUUUUUUUUUAAGAAGCCAGAAAUUACUUCAAAUCAUAAAGAAGUAAAGUAUGUUUAGCAGCUGCCUGAACCAUAUCUUCUAGAUGUUGAUGUUGAAUAUCACUAUUUUGGGGGGCUGAUGUACAUCAGAAAUUGUGUCAAACCAGUGCCUUCGAGAUCCUUGGAAAAUGAUGCAGACCGACCAUGAAAAUGGGAAUAAAGUUUGUGGCAGUGCUCUUGUUUCAUACUUGCGACCCGAAUAGCUGCAUCAGUUGCUACAGCGAGACUGAAGGAGAGGGGAACAAAAUGAAAAGCAAGCUAAGAAAUAUAGUCAAAAAUCAGGAAAAAGUACUCAAUCUCCAGAGCCGUAGGAAGGAUUGGAGCUCGGGCACAUGCCCUGGAGCUGCUGGGAGCAGGUGAGGCCGCGGAUCCGCAGGUUUUUGGCAGGAGGGCUUCCCGGCUGGCGGGAGGAGCCGCAGGCCCAGCCCCGCGCCGGCUGCAGCGCCCGCCUUGGCAGCAGAAGAAAUGGUUGGAGACUCUCUGAAGAUCGAAGGCAAUGAGGUUUGCUGGGAUGGGUAAUCUUCUUAAGGUCCUUACCAGGGAAAUUGAAAACUAUCCACAUUUUUUCCUGGAUUUUGAAAAUGCGCAGCCCACAGAUGGAGAAAGGGAGGUAUGGAACCAAAUCAGUGCAGUUUUGCAGGACUCGGAAAGUAUGCUUGCAGACCUUCAGGCUUACAAAGGAGCUGGACAAGAAAUUAGAGAUGCAAUACAAAAUCCCAAUGAUAUCCAGUUGCAAGAAAAAGCCUGGAAUUCAGUAUGUCCUCUGGUUGUAAGGCUGAAGCGCUUUUAUGAGUUUUCACUCAGAUUAGAGAAAGCCCUGCAGAGCUUAUUGGAGUCCUUGACGUGCCCACCUUAUACUCCAACCCAGCACCUGGAACGGGAACAGGCUCUAGCGAAAGAGUUUGCAGAAAUCUUACAUUUUACUCUUCGUUUUGAUGAACUUAAGAUGAGAAACCCAGCAAUUCAGAAUGACUUCAGUUAUUAUAGGCGGACAAUAAGUCGCAACAGAAUAAACAACAUGCAUCUAGACAUUGAGAAUGAAGUGAACAAUGAAAUGGCUAAUAGGAUGUCCCUGUUUUAUGCAGAAGCCACACCAAUGCUGAAAACACUCAGUAAUGCAACUACACAUUUUGUAUCAGAAAACAAAACAUUGCCAAUUGAAAAUACAACGGACUGUCUAAGUACUAUGGCUAGUGUAUGUAAAGUCAUGUUGGAAACACCGGAAUACAGGAGUAGAUUCACCAGUGAAGAGACCCUUAUGUUCUGCAUGCGAGUAAUGGUGGGAGUUAUUAUUCUGUACGAUCACGUUCAUCCUGUGGGAGCUUUCUCAAAGACAUCGAAGAUUGAUUGGCAUGCUUCUGUUCCCAGAUGAAGGGAUGCAUAAAGGUUUUAAAGGAGCAACCACCUGACACUGUGGAAGGACUUCUGAAUGCUCUCAGGUUCACUACAAAACACCUGAAUGAUGAAUCUACUUCAAAACAAAUUCGAGCUAUGCUGCAGUAGUAUCCUGAGACAAGUAGAUGUUUGUAUUGAUCACAGAAGAUGUGUAUGUUUACAUAAUUUAAUACAGUUUGAUGUUAAUACUUGUGUGUAUUUACAUAACCAUUUUCUCCACGUUGCUAAAAUAUAUGAAUCUGUUCAUAACCUGACUGACUUUAUAUAGUGCAGCCUAAGUUUUUAUGCUAGUCUUUAUCUUUUGACUUCUAAAAUACUUUUUUACUUAGAUACUUCAGUUACAACAGUUUAUCUGUGCAUUUUAAUCCUUAAACACCUUCUCUAUCAGAGAAGUAAGUAGUAGUAAAGACAAAAUAGAAAUCAAACAAACUGAAAUGUCAAAGAUACCAUAGAAAAAGAACUUUAAAGAAGGAGGAAGUUAAUGUAAGAGAAAGUAAAAUUCGUUGGAUAUGUUUUAAGAACAUCUGCACAGUAUUUUAGUCAGUUUUAGGAUCUCAUCAAACUACUAUGAAUAGAAGAAAACCUGAAUGUUUAUCAGUCUCAUAAAAUACAUUGUCUUUCCUGUAAGAAGUGUAGAUCCACCUAAUUUUAAGGAUUAGGUGCUGGCUGAGAUCCAAAAACAUAUUGCAAAGAUGUCAGUUUACCUUUUUUAUUAAGUAUAACCUGUCCCUCUCAACUGUUGAGGAAAUCAGUAUCCUUUUUCAGGUUCAAUAUAAAUAAAUGGAAAAAAUGUUUUAAGACCAUUGCUAGAUUUUGAAAAUUCUGUAUAAUUUUAUUAGAUUUAGAAAGGAAAGGGAAAAUACUAAUGCCUUGACUUAAAUAGAAAAGAUUUGUCAGUGUAAAUAUAUCAUGAUGAACAUUCUCUCAGACAGCUCUACUCGGUAAGUUCUUUGCUGAUAAAACCAGUAUAAAGCAGAAUGCUCCACUGUAGCAGCAAACUUCCCUAGUGUCAAAUUAGCCUCAUCAAACUAGGGAUGAUAUAAACAGGUUUUAAGAGCUGAGCUGUUAGUCACUCCAUCAAGUUCCUUGAUAGUAUUAUUCAAUAGAUGAUUCGGAGUCAACACAGAAACGUUUAUCAGCUGAUUGCUCUUCCUUGGCAUUUGAGAUGUGAUUGAUACUUCAAGGGAUUGAUUUCCUUGCCAAGUUAUCAUUUCUAGUAAUUUUUCCAGUAAAUGGAAUAGAAAUACUUUGCCAGAAGCAGGAAAGUGCUUGUGCUCUGUUAAGUGUGUCUUCUGGGUGGCCUGCAGAUGCUGUACAUAUUCUUGCAGAGGUCACGUUCUGAAAAUGUGUUUGGUUUUGUGUACUUUGCUUGCAUGUGUGUGUGAAAACUCCAGUGCUUGUGCACAGAUUCAGAUUUGUAUUUGCUUAUUCCUGUGUACAUAAAUCAGGGUUUGUGUCAUCACUGGAAUUUUCACGCAUAUCACUUUUAAAAACAUUACCGUAAAACUUUGGAAAUGCAUUUGGUCUGCUGAAACUCGGCUGCACUGUGACAAAUUCAGUCGUUGAACUGAGUCCUUAAAUGGUAUUAAUAUCAAAAGUUCUUUGGAGUAGGAAUUGCCUUAGAGUUCAUUUCUGAGCAGAACUACCACUAUGAGGUUUCUCAAGCCUGAUCAGACCCCAGAGGUGCCAACGUUACAUGUGUCAUGGUACUGGACAGCACUGCAACUCCAGCGUUCACGUCACACAUCUGCAGUUGUAGCAGCAGAUCACUGUGUUGUUGUCAGGAGCAGAAUUAGACGUCACGCUAGUUAUUUUCUUUGUCUGGAAGCAGCAAUCACACUGCUUUUUCACAGUAGUAAAUCCACUGUUUACAAACUCCAUUUUUGAUGGGGGGACACUUACAAAUGUAUAUUAGGGGAAAUCCUGCUUUGCUCAUAGUCACUUCCAGUUAGGUAAAUCUUGGUGGAUAACAGGUCAUUCUGUUGAGCUUUGGUAACUGAAGUUAAUACAUGCUUUACCCAUGGUUAUUGGUCAAGCGAUGAAGUCUUACCUUUGAGUAGCCCAAAGGAAAGCUCUUUGUCACUUGUAUAAUAAAAAUGUAAACCUUAAAGCAUUCUGCGAGUCGUCAUGUGCUGUUUGCCCAGGUCACUGAAUUUCUUUGCCUGCUCUCAUGUUUUUGUACAGAAGUGUGUUUAAAAUAAUAAAAAGUUUGGUACAGUAA